CUUAGAUUUUUUCACCAUUUGUCCCUUUUAUUCAUAGAGCUUUUUCUAUCUGAGUUUCUCGAUCAACUCUUUUCCUCCAAACAAUAGGUCUCGAGCCGAUCAGUUACCCAAAUAGUUUGGUGAGGGAAUUCAUAGUUAAUGUUCUCCAUCUUAUCCAAGUGAGGACAACGUAUCAGACAUAUACACGGUUUCUAGCAUAUGUACCAUGACCCCGAGCUCGAAGAGCUACAACUGCACAUGUAUCACUUUUUCGACGUCGUUUUCUAUCGUUAAGUAGAACUCAAGGAGUCUCCUUUGUUGAAGAGCUUACAAUUUCAUAGAGACGCUCGAGAACGAGAGGAUAAAGUUGUGUCUGAAGCGACUGCAACCAGAGAAUUUGAGAAUUUCGUGAAGGAAAGAUGUGGGGGUUCAUGGAACGUACUCGAGUAGUUGAAGAGUAUGACCAAUCCUCCACAUCUACUAGAGUUACUGCAGCCCUUAUGAGCUCUAUGGAACAAAGUCAGCAACCAUGGGUGGUGCCUACGGCUUCUGAGAGGCAUUUAGGCCCGACAUUGGACCCCCAAACCCCUCCCCCUAAAGCUACACACUUUGACUUGGAGACGAUUGUGUCUGAAUCUGUGUCGUUGGAGGUGGUUCAUGCCAUUAAGGAGCACUAUGGUAUUGCCUCCAAUCAUUUUUUGAAUAGGCUCCUGACAGGAUAGAGCGAGCUUGUUACUCAUACAAUGGCUUCUCGGCCUAGAGUCACCUACAUGGAAGUCAGCGCUACCCUUCCCUCCACCAAUACUUCAUCAACUUCAUGGUCUAGAUGAGGGUAUCGCCAUUCUAGUUUAUACAGAAUGCCUAUCGACUCUUGGAAGCAUUUUGCAUGUUGUGAAAGGAGAAGGACUGGAUCCUCACAAACCUCGAAGAGAUUCACUACCACUUCCAGAUUAAAGCCACUCCUAAGAAAGGGACAAAGGAAGAUGAUGAUGUUUACUCCUUAAUAAAAUGGAUGUCGCUCUAUCGAACACUCCAUCAUAACGAGAACAAGCCUAUAAGUUAUUUUCUCAAUAAUGUUCGAUACUCGCAACAAUCAUCAACUAUGCCUUAUAUUCAACCAAGUCAGUGAGUCAUAUUCUUGACCCUUAUGUCGUACCCAUUUUGUUUUUCAUAUUCGAUUUUACCUUAUGGAUCCCUGAUUUUUCCCUCCAAGACAAUAUUCUAGGCCAAGGAAGACCGACCUUUAUUUGGCAAGAGCCCAAGUCAUUCAUACCCCUCCCAUGAGGAGAAGGUUAUAUUCUACGUUAUCUUUCAAAUUGUAUCUGCUCAAAUUUAACCAGCAUCGUUUGCGUCAUUUCUCCCAUAAAUGUGUCUAUUUGUAGGUUUUGAGUGGGCUAUUAAAUUUCUUCAUUUGAAUUCGCUUCAAGAUUGGACAUAUUAAAAUAAUAAAAUUUGCAAAACAAUGUUAAAGACCUCACAAGCACUCUCUCAUGUGUUUUCACUGUAAAAAAUUAUGUAACACUCAACCCUCGUGUCUAGUCUCAAUCUGGCUUUCAUCAAAUAAUGUUCUCACACUCUUUUGCCUUUUUCCA